rnacentral:rRNA from 1 species
CCUACGGGGGGCUGCAGUGGGGAAUUUUGGACAAUGGGCGCAAGCCUGAUCCAGCCAUUCCGCGUGAGUGAAGAAGGCCUUCGGGUUGUAAAGCUCUUUCGCAAGGGAAGAAAACUUAUCCUCUAACAUAGGAUGCGGUUGACGGUACCUUGAUAAGAAGCACCGGCUAACUACGUGCCAGCAGCCGCGGUAAUACGUAGGGUGCGAGCGUGAGUCGGAAUUGCGGGGGCUGUAGUGUGAGUCGGCUGUUAAAUCCCCGGGCUCAACUUGGGAACUGCGUUUGAAACUACAAGACUAGAAUAGGUCAGAGGGGGGUAGAAUUCCACGUGUAGCAGUGAAAUGCGUAGAGAUGUGGAGGAAUAUCAAUGGCGAAGGCAGCCCCCUGGGAUCAUAUUGACGCUCAUGCACGAAAGCGUGGGGAGCAAACAGGAUUAGAUACCCCUGUAGUC